rnacentral:lncRNA from 1 species
UCCCGAUUAAUUAUUUUGCUGCAUAUUUGACUGAAACUUAUUUGUUACUAUCGUGAUUUGGGCUGAGUACCAUAUUUUGGUCUUCCUGCCAAUUAUUUGAAACUUUCAAAAAAUUUGUCACUAUUUUGUCACUGUUUUGAUUUAUUAUUUGAACUCGGUCCUUUUGCUGUCGACGUUUUACAAACGCAACUACUUAUACUCAGUUUUGAUACUUAAAUAAUAUUUUUAAAUGAUGUUUUGGGGUGAGAACUACUGUUUUACUUAUGUCCGAGGGGCUUGUAUUGAUUUUUGAACUGAGAGCGGCCGAGGGCCAUAUGUGAGGAUAAACUGAGUGAUAUGAGGCCGAGGGUCUGAGAUACAUAUAUACGCCACAAGGUGGCUUAAGUGAUAUGAGGUCGAGUGCCUAGAUUUGAUGCCACGAGGUAGAUUGAUAUUGCUCUUGGGCCGUAAGGGCCCCUUCUGGAGUCUGCACACCCCCA